ensembl:lncRNA
GGAUGUCUCAUGUGCUUGUUGUCAGUUCUGUUUUCCUUGCUCGUGUCUGAAUUUUUGGAUGUUUGUUUAAGUUUUAAAUGUUUGUGACUGCACCUCGAUCCUGCUUUUUCCAUGUUAUGGUUGUUUUAUGGUGUACAACAAAAUGUCCAAGAAUCUUCGAGUUAUGUUUACCACAGAUUUAAUUUUUUCAUGAAUUGAAAAACCCAGUUAUAAAAGCCCAUCAGAAAAUCUCAAGGGAAAUCAUGCCGAAUUCUUCCUGAAACGGCUGUUGUUGUCAUAGAUUAUGACACGAAGGAAUGACUAAUACACAAAACACUGGAGCAGGGGCGCAAAGGGGCUGCAGUUGUCAUCAAGCUAAAUGAACUGUGAAUAUUUUCAUGGCAUCUGCAAGCCGAAAGAAGCCUCAUGUUUUCUCCAUUAUGAGAGCAUUCCUGCGCAGACAGGUCAGUCAGUAGUUUGCACAUGGAACUUGCUGAAUCCAUUGAUUUGAAAAGGGCC